UGUACACACCGCCCGUCGCUACUACCGAUUGAAUGGCUCAGUGAGGCGUUCGGACUGGCUCGGGGAGGUUGGCAACGACCACCCCAAGCCGGAAAGUUCGUCAAACUCGGUCAUUUAGAGGAAGUAAAAGUCGUAACAAGGUCUCCGUAGGUGAACCUGCGGAGGGAUCAUUA
rnacentral:rRNA from 5 species